AUGGAGCCGACCUUGAAAUACCACCCUUUAAUGUUUGAUGUUCUAACGUUGACCCGUAAUCCGGGUUGCGGACAGUGUCUGGUGGGUAGUUUGACUGGGGCGGUCUCCUCCUAAAGAGUAACGGAGGAGCACGAAGGUUGGCUAAUCCUGGUCGGACAUCAGGAGGUUAGUGCAAUGGCAUAAGCCAGCUUGACUGCGAGCGUGACGGCGCGAGCAGGUGCGAAAGCAGGUCAUAGUGAUCCGGUGGUUCUGAAUGGAAGGGCCAUCGCUCAACGGAUAAAAGGUACUCCGGGGAUAACAGGCUGAUACCGCCCAAGAGUUCAUAUCGACGGCGGUGUUUGGCACCUCGAUGUCGGCUCAUCACAUCCUGGGGCUGAAGUAGGUCCCAAGGGUAUGGCUGUUCGCCAUUUAAAGUGGUACGCGAGCUGGGUUUAGAACGUCGUGAGACAGUUCGGUCCCUAUCUGCCGUGGGCGCUGGAGAACUGAGGGGGGCUGCUCCUAGUACGAGAGGACCGGAGUGGACGCAUCACUGGUGUUCGGGUUGUCAUGCCAAUGGCACUGCCCGGUAGCUAAAUGCGGAAGAGAUAAGUGCUGAAAGCAUCUAAGCACGAAACUUGCCCCGAGAUGAGUUCUCCCUGACUCCUUGAGAGUCCUGAAGGAACGUUGAAGACGACGACGUUGAUAGGCCGGGUGUGUAAGCGCAGCGAUGCGUUGAGCUAACCGGUACUAAUGAACCGUGAGGCUUAACCUUACAAC
rnacentral:rRNA from 1 species